AUCAUGUCUAUGAAUUUCUCUUUCUUCAAAAACAUAAACACUAACAAACAAUUAAUUAAUCUCUCACACUCUUUAUUUUUUCCAUGGUCACUCUCAUUACAACCUGCAAGUCCUUUUUCGUCUUUACAGUUUUCCUUUUCUUUAUAACUCUGCCUACUACUCUUGCAUCUCUUCAGCCAAGGAAUCAAUAAAACCAUCCCAGAAUUAGGGUUUCUGCUACCCAUGCUUUUCACUUUUAGCUCUAAGGUUGGCCUUUCUAUACCUCUACUUCAUUGCUUUCAACCUCUCCUUUCAGAUUUAUCCCUUCUUUUUAUCACAAUUUCAUGACUUGCCUUUCCUUCUUUCCCCUUCAAAAGUAGGGUUUUCUUCAAUUCUGAUCUGCUCAUAGCAUGCCAAUUAGCUUGAUCGGCACUAAUUAUUGUGAAAAAGUCUGUCAAGUGAAAACUGGCCUGCAUAUGAAUCACUUUCUGAGCUUAUAAUGAACUUGCAUGGACAUAUCCACAUACAUACAUAUACAUAUAUAUAAAAGAAUCUGAUUUUUGCUGCUAUGGUACCUUUGCUUUCUUCUUCCCUCCUCUUGCAAGGAAAAGAAAUGUAUGUACUGCAGAGUUCCAUCAGCUUUGUCACAUUGGGAAGGAAAGAGAGUGAAGGAGCUUCCCUCAGCCCAUUCAUGGACACAAAAGAUUGGGUUGCAAAAUUAAUCACUAACUCAUUCACACAUUAGUAUUGAGUUUUAGGGUGAUGCUCUUUUUGCUAUGAUAUGAUUGUGUGAAUGAACUGGUGCAUACGUAUAUAUUGUGACCCUCUUUCUCUGUGCUUGGACUGAAGGGAGCUCCUUCUUUCUGUUGCCUCCAUUUGUAUCCAUCUCUCAGAUGGCUUUAUGCAUGUCUAAGCUUAAUCUAUAUAUACUUAGCACAAUAAAGGUGAGACCAGUACACUGUAGCUGACGUUACAUAUCAUCUUCUGGCUCUAUGUUAUUUGGUACGAGUUUCUCUUCGAUCUCUUUCUCUCUACAGUACUUUUCUGAGUUCUUCCUUUGGGGUUUGGGAAAGCAAAUUUUAGGUUAAAAGUGAGUAAUUCAUUUGCAUCUGUAUUGCUACUGUCUACUCUUUUCAAUUUUAGGUUCUGUGACCUUACAGAUAAUUAGCAUGUGCCAAAUCAUUAUUUUUAUUUUUUUCACUCACCAUUUCUGCUUAUCCAAUCUUUUUUAUUUUCCAUAAAUGUCUUAUCAUCACUUUAUAAUGUUAUUCAUUUAUCUAAAUGUAAAUGGAAUGUGGGGUACAGUAUAAAGAAGAAAUGAUAACAUAUGUAUUAACAGCAUAUAAAUCAUCUUUAUGUAGUAAAACUGUAUAUGAAAAUAAAGGUAAUUUUUUUACAGCAGUAUAUAUAUACAAACUAAACUUUUAAUUAAACUGUAGAAGAACUUGUUAUUCAUUUAUGAGUGAUAUAAAUCAUAAGUAGUCUUGAUUGUUGUUGCAUUUGCAUGUUAAAGUGAGUGUGAAGACAUUAUGGAGUGAGACGAAAAGCAUUGAAGGUGUGCAUUACUCAUUUCUAUGCACCAAUUACUCAAUAUCUUUCAUUUUCCAAGGUAGGAGAAGGAGUAUGGUUUGAUUAAACAAAUGCUGCUAUAGUCCACGUUCGGAUGUUCCUUCUGGCUUUAACACAAAGCAAAUUGCAUUAGUUAAAUAUUGAUUCUCCUCUACACUCGAGAAGUUGCACCUGCAAAUUUUCAUUAACAUAUUGAAUUGCCAUCAACUAUAAACAGUAAUCUGUUGUGUCUUUUUGCCUAGAGAAGAUAGUUUAUCCUAUAAUAAGGAGAUUUAUUUUAAAUGUGGCUUUGAAAUAAGUGAUAAAUACUUCUGACAUGUAUGCAGCAUAAAGCUGAAACUUCUUGUUUUUCCUCAAGUUCACUGUGAACAUUUGAAUUAGUGUACAGUCAGGUGUGUGCCCUAUUUUAUAUUUCAUAUAUAAAUAAAGAAAAAUUACACAAAAUAUUUUAUUUGUUGGUGUGUCUCAAUUCUUUUAUAUAUUAUUCGUAAGUUUAAUACUCUCCAACGAGAUUAACACUGAGUAUGUAAUUUUUCAAUCAAAUGAAUGAGAGAAAUUUAUGGAAAACAGUAUUUUUGACACGGUUAAAGUGAUUCACACUCGUGGUGGAAUCUAAAUUAUGUCAAUGUCAUAAAGGGUAAUUUUGUUUUUUUACAUGGUGUGUUGCUGUUGCGCUGGUAUGGGAGCAGAAUAAAUAAAACAGUGCAUUUCAGUAAAGUAAAGGCAACUGUUGCAUUUAAGCCCUUCUCUUUGAUUUCACUUUUGCAAAGGCUCGACUAUUUUAUUUUGGAAGAGCAACUCUUGAUGCUAGGGUUAGGAUGGAGAGAGAAAGCGAGAAAAAAAAAAGGAGAACUCCAUGGGUGCCACUUAACCGGAGGCUGGACGUAAUUAGAAGAGUUUGAACCGGCAAAGUCAAAGUAAAUUAUCAUUGUGAAGCGCGAGCAAAAGGUUAACCUUUCUAUCAGAAGUGCAAAGCAUAAGAAGUUUGUCCCUUUUCGAUUUUAUUCCCCUUUCUCUUUUUCAAAUUCUAUAACGUGAUCGGAAGAGUUUGAACAGGCAAAGUCAAAGAACAUGAUCGGUGUGAGAUUUUGACAAUGCUAUAAAGAUUUUGAUUUAACUCGCUCUCAAGGUUCUAGUUAACAUAAAAAGAGCAUCAAAACCAUAUGAUUUACACAAUGUCCAACAUCAAAUUACACAUGGUCAAACAGAAUACGAGUUAUAUUGACAUCAUACGGUAAAGACAAGAAUUUGCUCCCUACCUCUAAGACACUACGAGAGACGCGAAAAAAAUCCAAACACACACGGAUGAUGCAAAACCCCUAAAAUUCACAACCACGGAAAUGAUGGAAAACCCUUCAACUUCACAACCACUGAAAACCUGCAGGACCACGAAUUGGGAGCGGCAUAGUGAUGCUAAACCUUCACACCCACCAAAAACCUCUACAACCACUGAUUUAACCAGCUCACAAAAAGAAAUGGGAAUGAAAGGUACCAAUGAACGUCGAAGAACAAUGAAGAACAAUGGAAGAGAAAGAAAAACCUACCUAGGGUGUCGGAACAAUGGAGAGCAAUGACGAGAGAAAGAUAAGUAAACAAAAAUUUUCUUUUUCCCAUUUUACCCUCAAUCACUCUACAAUUUUUUUGGAAAACAAUGAAGUGAAGCGUGUCAAAUGAAUGUAAGCUCCACGUUAGCGUGUCAAUGUAUUAUAACCCAUCUAUGGAAAACAAUACUUUGACACGGUUAAAGUGAUUCACACUCAUUUAACACGCGAUGGGGCCAAAUUGUGCGAAGAUCAUAAAGGGUAAUUUUUUCUUUUAGCGGUGUGUUGCUGCUUCGCUAGUUUGGGAGCAGAAUAAAUGAAACACUGCGUUCUAGUAAACAAAGGUAGUUGUUGCAUUUGGGUCCCUCUCUCUGAGUUCACUUUUGCAAAGGCUCAACCAAUUAAUUUUUGAAGAGAAACUCUUCGUCCUAGGGUUCGGAUUGAGAGCGAACGCGAGAAAAAAGAGAGGAGAACUCCAUGGGUGCCACUUAACCGGAGGUUGGAUGUGAUAGGAAGAGUUCGAAAUGCCGAAGUCAAAGUAUGAUCGGUGUGGAGCGCGAGAAAAGAAGGCUGACCUUUUUAUCAGAAGUGAGAAGUAUUAGAGGUUUUUCCCAUUUCUAUUUUUUUCCACUUUCCCUUUUUCAAACCCUCUAACGUGACUGGAAGAGUUCAAACAAGCAAAGCAAAUAACAUGAUCGGUGUGAGAUUUUGACAACGUUAUAAAGAUUUUGAUUUAACUCGCUGGAAAGAUUAUAAUUAACAUUAAAAGAGCAUCAAAACCAUAUGAUUUACACAAUGUCCAACAUCAAAUUACACAUGGUCAAACAAAAUACGAGUCAUAUUGACAUCAUAUGGUAAAGAGAAGGAUUUGUUCCCCUACUUGAAAGACACAUACGAGAGACGCGAAAAAAAAUUCAAACACCCACGGAUGAUGCAAAACCUUUUAACUUCACAACCAUGGAAAUGAUGGAAAACCCCUCAACUUCACAACCACCGAAAACCUGCAGGAUCACCGAUUAGGAGCGACACAAUGAUGAUAAACCUUCACACUCACCAAAAACAUGCACAACGACCGAUUGAACCAACUCACCAACAAAAAUGGGAAUGAAGGGUGCCAAUGAAUGUCGAAGAUCAAUGGGAGAGAAAAAAAACUUAAC